AUUAGCUGUUACACAUAAUGUAUAACAAUUUUGAACGUAAUGUAUUACAAUUUUGAAAAGCUUGGAAUAAAAAAAAUAAUAUCUAAUAUAUUUUAUGUAGGUGCCAUUAUGAGACAAUAAGCAGCUCAUAACAAUCAACGAGAUUCUCUGACAGGGUACAGAUCAGGACUGAUUAGUUUCACAAGUGAAAAUAAUGAGACUGGUGUUCCCCACCAUUCACAAUUUAACGGCCCUGAAAGAUCAGUUCCGGCAUACAGACAAAACAGUUAUGCUUUUUGGAAUGUAACUGGACGAACAAAUCGAGCUGAAUCGCAAUAUUCAUUCAGUCCAGACAACGGAGAAAGUGACCUAACAAGAUCCGGAUCACAUGUUGAAUGUAAAGCAAAUGUUCGUUACACUCCAAAAGAUGCUCUGGUGGUAUCAGGGAACAAGUUCGCACCCGAUAAUGAAUACUGCAUUACUAAUGGUGUGAGAGAAAUGACGUUUUGUCGAACAACCAGCGAACAGCACGGACACAACGAUUCCUGAACGCGAUGAACUUCCUGAACAGAAAGAACAUACACUUUAUUGGUGAUAACACACUAGUAUUAACAAAAUAAAUAUGUUAUGAGACUUGAAAUGAUAACGUGUAAACAGCAUGAAAAAACAAAUAAACAAACUUUGGUUUUGUGAAUGGGUUGUUAUAAUACAUGCUAAAGGAAUAUUAUUUUGUAGUUUAGAUCUUCAAUCAAUUUCUGUAGUCUAACUGUCAGUUUUUGUACCUAGUACUGCUCUUAUUUAAACAAGCAGAGAAAAUCUUUUAUUUAUUAAAA
rnacentral:lncRNA from 1 species